rnacentral:sRNA from 1 species
GUUGGGUGUGGUGGUGCAUAUCUGUAAUCCCAGCAGCUUGGGAGGCUGAGGCAGGAGGAUUGUGAGUUCAAAGCCAGCCUCAGCAAAAGUGAGGCACUUAGCAACGCAGUGAGACCCUGUCUCUA